UGGCUCAAUGGUAGAGCGUUCGACUCAUUUACCAAAGGUCAUGGGUUCAAAUCCCAA
rfam:Schistocephalus solidus strain NST_G2 genome assembly, scaffold: SSLN_scaffold0002541